rnacentral:rRNA from 1 species
AACUUACUACAAUAGGUGGGGGAUAACAGUUGGAAACGACUGCUAAUACCCGCAUAUUCCCGAGAGGGGAAAGGUAUUUAUAUCGCUAUCGAAGAGGCUUAUAUCUGAUUAGCUAGUUGGUGAGAUAACUGCUUACCAAGGCAAUGAUCAGUAGCCGGUCUGAGAGGAUGAUCGGCCACAUUGGGACUGAGAUACGGCCCAAACUCCUACGGGAGGCAGCAGUAGGGAAUAUUGGACAAUGGACGAAAGUCUGAUCCAGCAAUGCCGCGUGAGUGAUGAUGGUGUUAUGCAUCGUAAAGCUCUUUUAACAGGGAAGAUAAUGACAGUACCUGUAGAAUAAGCACCGACUAACUAUGUG